AAGCGAAUAGAGUCGACGAAACCUGUCUUCCAUCAUUCAACCGAUCAGCUCUGCGGUCUGUCACCGCGCUACCGUACGCAACACUGCGGAGUGUGUCGGUGGUGGUCACUGCUGAGUGGAGCUAGGCCUGUGUGAUCGGUGCAUUUGAUGGCGGUAUGCGCCGAGAGCCGCGUCACGGUGUGCGUCAACGUCUGCCUGGUGCAGUGGACCGUUGUACGUCUUCGGACGGGCGGAAACCUGCAUUCGACCGAGGCGCAUCACAGAUGCGGUGAACAGCCGUGUACAGCAGUCCCCAGGCGCUUGCCCGCGCCUUGCGCCUGUCGGCCUGACCGUGUGGCGGUGCGUACUGCGAGUGCUUCGCGGCGCGCAGUGCGUCCGUUUGCGGUCUGGCCACGGUCGUUUUGUGUGCGUUGGGACUGUGCCUCGGUGUGAGUGUCGAUCACCUAUUCGACCCGUCUUGAAACACGGACCAAGGAGUCUAGCAUAUGCGCAAGUUAUUGGGUGGUAAACCCGGAGAAAACGCAAUGAAAGUGAAAUCGGCCGUUCUGACGGUCGCAAACUGUGAGCCAGUCGACUCCGUCGGGCGCAACAGUGCCCCGUCUCGGUUGCCGUUGGCAACGGGGCGGAGGUAGAGCGUGUAUGCUGGGACCCGAAAGAUGGUGAACUAUGCCUGAGCAGGAUGAAGCCAGAGGAAACUCUGGU
rnacentral:rRNA from 1 species